AGACCCGAAACCCGGUGAUCUAGCCAUGGGCAGGUUGAAGGUUGGGUAACACUAACUGGAGGACCGAACCGACUAAUGUUGAAAAAUUAGCGGAUGACCUGUGGCUGGGGGUGAAAGGCCAAUCAAACCGGGAGAUAGCUGGUUCUCCCCGAAAGCUAUUUAGGUAGCGCCUCGUGAAUUCAUCUCCGGGGGUAGAGCACUGUUUCGGCUAGGGGGCCAUCCCGGCUUACCAACCCGAUGCAAACUGCGAAUACCGGAGAAUGUUAUCACGGGAGACACACGGCGGGUGCUAACGUCCGUCGUGAAGAGGGAAACAACCCAGACCGCCAGCUAAGGUCCCAAAGUCAUGGUUAAGUGGGAAACGAUGUGGGAAGGCCCAGACAGCCAGGAUGUUGGCUUAGAAGCAGCCAUCAUUUAAAGAAAGCGUAAUAGCUCACUGGUCGAGUCGGCCUGCGCGGAAGAUGUAACGGGGCUAAACCAUGCACCGAAGCUGCGGCAGCGACACUCAGGUGUUGUUGGGUAGGGGAGCGUUCUGUAAGCCUGUGAAGGUGGCCUGUGAGGGUUGCUGGAGGUAUCAGAAGUGCGAAUGCUGACAUAAGUAACGAUAAAGCGGGUGAAAAGCCCGCUCGCCGGAAGACCAAGGGUUCCUGUCCAACGUUAAUCGGGGCAGGGUGAGUCGACCCCUAAGGCGAGGCCGAAAGGCGUAGUCGAUGGGAAACGGGUUAAUAUUCCCGUACUUGGUGUUACUGCGAAGGGGGGACGGAGAAGGCUAUGUUGGCCGGGCGACGGUUGUCCCGGUUUAAGCGUGUAGGU
rnacentral:rRNA from 1 species